UUUCUCCAUCACGGCAAGUUAUUUUCCAUCAUUUUUUCUGGGGCAGCCAGGCAACCGGCUACCGGUUGGCAACCUCCCAUCCUUCCUAUUAUUAUCCAUUACCUUCCGGUUAAUUCGGUCUAGGCGGCGGAUGGUCAAAGCGGUUCCCUCACGCAUCUCUCAUCCUCUCCCACGUUCUUCUCUAGGCCGGCGCAUUCUUCUCCCUCUCCGGCCAUUGUGCCCCCUACGGAGGCGGCCGGCAGCGUGGCGGAGGAGCUCAGAGCUUCCCCUCCUUCACGAUGCAGAUGGUGGCGAGGCCCUAAAUCUACUGUCUUCGAAAACACCAUGGGAUGGCCCUGAGGAUCAUGUGCCACAUGCUGGAGGGCUUCGCCGAGCUGUUCGUUGGCCACCAUGGACACGGCCUGAUGCGCCGCGCUGUGUUUUGACUAGAGGCGGCGCGGGGUGCCGGUGCGGGGCUUAAGUUGCAGGAUUCGAUGUUGGACGGGAGCACUGCCCAGUCGUUGAGGGAUGCCGUGCGUAGCUGGAUGUUGAUGUGCCUCCUCUCCGGAAAACCAAUAGGAUAGCUACCUGGAGGCUUUCAAUGAAGAUCAUUGUGUGUGUCGCUUGAAUCCAGGAGUACAGGGAUCAGGCUACCCAACAAAAUAUGUUGAAGUUGGACUUCAUUUUUAUUACCGAGAGGUACUUUCUUUCUAAAUAUUCAGACACUUCACUUAGCUAUUAUCACUUAUAAACACAAUGCCUACAAUUAACUCAGAGUAAACACCUAUGUUGUUUCACGACAAACACCCCUGCAUAUUGGCUUAUUGCACUUAUAUUUGAACUGACUGAUUUUCCGAAAUGUAACCAACCAAUGCUAGAUUUCCAUCUGUCGUACUAUUGCUUGCUAACAUAAUUAUUUGUUCUCCAAGAAUUGUGACUUAACUGAUGUUUCAGGGCAACACAAUGAAAGACUGUAUGCCAUCCAAUAAAAUAUACAGGUUCAGAUAACAACUACAGGAAGUUGGAUCUACAAUUUUGAGUCUUUUAUUGUCGCUGCAGCGCGGAACGAAUCCAAGACAAUAGAUCAUAAAUAUAGGAUCAAGAUUGCUCAACUUACUACAAAGGUCAUACAAGCCAUUCUAGAGCCUGAAGACUUUCCUAUGUUCAUGUAUAACGCGAAAUCAUUUGAUAUUCUACGGUCACGCACAUGGACAACAACGUUCUAUCGGGCUUUCAGUGAAUACAAGCCUGUAAGUUUCAUAUUAAUUUGUCUGCUUUUUAUGUCCACUCAAUUCUCUCUUUUUUUCUACCAAUUUCAGAUGUUGCUUGACUCAUGAUAAUUAUUAGUGGAUAUCACUCCGUCAAAUACGAAUCAACAGCCAAAGAGGCAUGUUCACUUAAAGAUGUUAGGUAUGGCUUUUGCAAUAUGUAGCAAUACUUCAGCGGCCCAUUAUGAAACUGCAUGCAUACUUCUAUUUUACAUCUUUGUUAAGCGGUAAACGCAAGCACCUUCCCUCGAUAUAUUGCAAGCUAUUAGUGAUGUUGUACAUAAAGGGCUAUAGAGUAUGAUUUGGAUUGCUGUUGCAAAUUUCUACCUCAAAAGAUACUUUGUUAGUCCUAGCUUUGCUUUCGCCUUGCAAUUUUGCAUCUCCUAGAAUAAUAUGUUUGUCCUCAUCUCAGGACCUUAAAACCAAUACAAAAAUUAUCAGGUUAUGUCGGCAUAUGAUUCUCACUUCAGUUUUCCAGUUUAUGAAUUUCUGUAAUUUUGAUUAUUCUUUGUUGCUCAACUUUUGAAGAGCAUAACGAUUGCAACUAUUUUAAUAGUUGUUGGUGUUCUACGUCUAUUGCUGCACAGCUGCAGAGCAUGUCUUCUGUCAUUUUCAAUGUAACUUAAAGAAGAGAUCAAGGAUAAAGGUUUUGUACACCUGGUUAUUGUACAUACUGCACCGCUAUUCUUCUUAACUUAAACUGUGGCUGGACCCUAUUCACUGAAACAACUAUAUUGAUACAUUUCUCCAUUUACCUUUCUAAGAAUGUUUUUCUUUUAUUAUAUUGCAGGAAACUUGCUAUGAGCAUCCUUCAGUAUUAGUUUCCCCACAAGAUCAAAUGUGCAAUGAAUCACAUCAACGGGGGGAAAUAUUAGAUGAUAUUAGUCUUAACGUGGUACUAUACUACCACUCCUUAUGUAUUAAAUUUACAAACUUCGACAUUUUGUUCCAUUGGUUGACAGGAAUGUGUCCAGUUGAGGGGCAGCUCAGGCUGGGUUUCAGCCUAUUGGUGGUCCUGCUAUUGGUGAUCUUUUUGCCUAAAUUGAUUGGUAUGCAACUACCGAUUUUGCAUCUCCUUCAAAGAACUCUGCUAUCUGGAGAGAUCGUUCAGCCGUAGACAUAGCCGCCUUCGUUUAGAUAAAGGAACAACAUAGCCAGUACUCUAUGCUCUGUACCUUUCUGGUUAGUGUUCUCAAAGUAUCUAUGUGUUAUUGUAUAUAGUUGCAAACAAUGAAUAUAUUCUUUUAUUUCAUCUUCUGUAUCUCCAUGCUUUUUAUAA